rnacentral:rRNA from 1 species
AUGGCAUCAAUAGCGAGGGUGCCGUCAAGGUGCACAGCAGAGACGGCGCGGGCCACGGUCGCGUUCGAGAUCGCCGGCUACAGCCGGCACAAGGGCCUUUUUAGAGGCAAAUUCCUCCGUUCUCCUGCAUUCUCCAUCGGCGGCUACGAAUGGUGCGUCCGCUACUACCCCGAUGCCGAGGAGAGCGAAGGCCAUGUCUCUGUCUACCUCGAGCUCUUGACCAAGAACGCCGAGGUGAGGGCGCUCUGCAGCUUUAUGCUUGUGGAUCCGGUUAAAGAGAAGUCGAUUGUGGUGCACUCUUUCAAGGAACCACGAGUGUUUAACGGUAAAUGGCCAUCAUGGGGCCUGCUAAAGUUCAUGAAGAGCACCCCUGAAGUAGAGUCCCUGUACCUGCGGAACGAUUGUCUCGUGAUCGAGUGCGAAGUCAGUGUUAUCAAGGAAACACUCGAGAUCCAUGUGCCACCCUCAGACCUUUCGGAUAAUCUUGCAAAAUUGCUAGAGGGGAAAGGAGCAGACCUGACUUUCAAGGUUCGAGGGGAGGUUUUUUCUGCUCAUAAGAUUUUGCUUGCGACGCGGUCGGCGGUCUUCGAUGCGGAGUACUACGGGCCGAUGGGGGACAAAGGGACACAUGAAAUAACUAUUGAUGACAUGCAGCCUGCUGUUUUCAAGGCAUUUCUUCACUUCAUCUACACGGAUUCAAUGCCUUCCAUGGACGAUCUCGAGGCUGAUGACAAAAGAGAAAUGGUUAAGCACGUACUUGUGGCUGCAGAUAAGUAUGCCAUGGAAAGGAUGAAGAUGGUAUGUGAACACAUGUUAUGCAAGAGUCUUGAUGUUGAGAAUGUGGCGACCAUAUUAGCUCUAGCUGACCAGCAUAAUUGCAGAAAUCUCAAAGAUGCUUGCAUUGAAUUUAUGCUCUCUUCGAAUAGAAUGAAUGAUGUGAUCGCAAGUCAAGGGUAUGUACAACUCAAAAGAUCUUCGCCUGAUAUCAUUGUAGAUGUGUUGGAGAGGGCAGCCAAGUCCCGCAAAAUUUAG